GGGGGGAUGGUCGAGUGGUUUAUGGCUCCGGUCUUGAAAACCGGCGUACCUGAAAGGGUACCGUGGGUUCGAAUCCCACUCCCCCCGCUA
rnacentral:tRNA from 1 species